UGAAGCUUGAAACAAAAUCUCACCAAAAAAAAAACACCCACACAACCCGCGGCUUGGAGAGAGGAAGGAGGAGGAGAGCUUUUCGCCGAUUCUUGUCUGAUCGUUCCACAGUUCGUUGCUACGCGUAGGCCUCAAGGUACUGACGCUUUUCCUUACUUCUGAUCGUAAAUUCUGCCGCUUUUCUCUAUACUUUUCUGAGCUCAAAGUUUUGAGGUUUUUGGAAAAUUGUCCAAAUAGCUUGAUUUCUCUGUCUAAACAUCUUCCCUACGUGCCCAAGAGCACUUCUGUCGGAUUAGUUUUUCCGUAAUGUCGCCGGAAUUCCGCCGGAAUCAACUUUUGCAUCAAAUACCCAUUUUGGGGCAAAGCUUCGUCCUUUGGGCUUAAAACCCUCGACUGAGCUUAGCGUUAGUAAGAUUAGUCGUUAUAAUCGUCGUUAGUAUCAACCCCAUCUAAUUUGUUUUUCAAAAUUCUGAUUUUAAGUUUCCAAGCUAAAAAUAUUGACCAAAAUACCCCUGCGACAGUUUUCGAUUCGAUAAUUUUUCUGAGAGUUUCCUUGGCCUAGAUAUCGCCUAAGAAUACCUAGGAAUCGAUUUAGAUCGAAGAAAAAGUUCGGAAACCCUAUUUUACAUAGUGGCCGAAACCUAUUGCUUAGGGUACCGUGUCCAAAAAUAAUUUUUGGGUCUCUAUGACCUGAGCCAUUGCGUAGCUCUUUCGAUUGUCGAAAUUUUGGCGCUGGUUUCGUGUCAUUCCGAGUUCUGUAGCUCGAGUUAUGCUCGUUUUAGCGAACGAGGUUCUGUUGUCUAUCCAUGCUUAAAUAUUGUACUCUGAAGCUUCUUAAGCUUUGUCUAACGCUAGUUAGUGUUGUAUUGACCGAAUUGACUUGUUUUGAUUGACCUUCGCUUCGUUUGCUCAAAGAUUCGUUUGGAGGAACACUUGGAGCAGGAAAAGAGGAUUGUGAAGGAGCGUUUGAAGAGAACCCUGGAGAAUCUACAGGUUCGUUUGAGGAAUUCGGAGGACUUGAGGAGGAAGAUUGUGAAGGAAAGUCCAAGGAGCGAGCUGGAAAACCAACAGAUGAGUAUGGCGGACCGGUUCACGAUGGUUCACCCUCCAGGGGAAACUAGGUUGAAGAAGCUUGAUCAGGAGGACUACGGUUCAGGGGUGGUCGACCCCGCUGGCCACCGAGCGACUUACUCGAGUAGGGAUUAGUGUAGGAGUAGAGUCUUAGCUCUGACCGUCAUUGUUUCUUUGGGGACAGGGUAGUUUCCCGCCUAUAGCUUUUUGUGUGGUUCCUCUACGGGGAUCACAGGGAGUUGGUUGGGCUAAGAGGUCUUGUUUUAGGCCGUCUGGGCUAACUCAUUCUCAUUUUGAGGGAUAGUGUUGCGGACACUUGACUUUUCUUUUGGUUUGUACUUUUGCCUACGGGCGUUACUCUCUUUUACUUUCCGUCACUGGAGGUUUACUCGUGACGUGGUUUACAACUUACAGUGGGGGGCUGUAAUCAUAUUGUGUAUUAGUUCUGUUAUCUUCGUUUUAGAGUUUCAUCUCUUUCUGUCUUUACUUACAUUAUCGAAAAAAAAUAAUUCACGUUUUUCCGCUUAAGUAUUUCUUUUUGGUUACUAAAGUGACGCCACCGAAAUCGGGGUGUUACACAGAUAGUCUUCCAUCUGCAUCUUCCAAAACCCGAAGUCUCUGCCAUCAAACCUCUCAAUCUUCACCUUCCCUUCUUCCAGCGCCAUUGCUCCCACUUCUUCCUCUAAACUGAGGAUCUAUCCCACGAACCUGAAGCUCUAGAUACCAGUUGUUGGGAGCAAUAAUAGGAAAGAGAGAAGAGAGAAAGAAAUAUCACACAGCAGUUUUUAACGUGGUUCAGAACACAGUGUGUGUACCUACGUCCACGACUAAACUAGGUAGUAAUAUUUCAUUUGGUGUGUAUAAUGCUUACAAUGAGGUGCCUAUAUAUAGUAGGAGUAAGUCAACCUCCUCCUUAUUCUAAGCGAUGUGGGACUUACAAAUAGACUACAUAAGCGA